CCUAUGAUUUCUCUUAUAAUGUCUCUUGAUCAAGGUGAAAAAUAUGAACAAAUAUGGAUCAUGAAAAGAUUUAACUCAACUAUGAUCCAUCAAGCAUUUUAUUUUUAUCCUAAUUAAGAGACUCUUUCUUUCUUCUCUUCUCUUAUGUUGUCCAAACAUAGGCUAUGAAGGAAUUCUGACCCGACUAGAACCCGUCAAGAUUUUCAUAAGAAAAGAGAAGAAAUAGUUUAAAAAAUUUUA
rnacentral:lncRNA from 1 species